AUAUGUUUAUUACUAUUUAGAAGGUUGAUAUUUUGAGUUUUUUAAAUCUCUAACAAUAAUGUAGAUUUAUAUUAUCAUAUAUAAUGUUUAUUCUCAGUUCUCUAUGGUGUUGACAAGUUAGGGGACUCUAUAAAUCAGAAGUACUAGCUUACAGGUGGCUUUUUGUUACUGAACAGGAUAUUAAGGACCUACCUUAAUUACAGGUUGAAUAUAGUGAGUUGGUUGAUGCGAUGACAACAAGCAGUAAGUGCAGAGAACUAUGAAGUGGGAAAUAUGAUUGCUUAGAAAGGGUUAACACGACGAUUAUUUUACUUGCAAACAAGAUUGUGUAAGAGAUUCACGAAUGUAAUGAAGUUUUGAGUUUCUAUUCAAACAUUUAUUGACUAUUUGUUUUGUAUGUUUGGUAUUUAGACAUAGGUUGACGCUUAUUAGACUUUUGUUUGCAAACAUUGGAAUCUUUGGAAGAUGAUUGAUUGAACUUUUUAA